UUGACUCAUGGCCAGAUCUUGAGAAAAACUCCUGGCAAAUACUGGCGGAAAUUCCUGGCAAAUGCUCUCACCUCACCCUCUGCUAACCCUGCAGGGAGGGCAUAGGUAGGGUGGGAUCGUUUUCAAAAUGGAAAACGAUUUGGGAGGACAUUUUCAAAAAGGAAAAAUCAAAGCAUGUCUGUAGCUUCUGCAUGCCUGUGGCGGGGCGAGAGUCCUAACAGGCCUGGCUGAAGACGAAGCCCCAGUGACCAGGGACAGCCAGCACUGAUUCGGAGCCUAGUACCUUGGACUCCCAGUCUUCGACCACCUUGUUCCUCUCCUCAGAAGAGCAGGGCCCCUCCACCGCCGCCCUGCCGUCUCCCUCCUCCUCCUCCUGCGAGCCCCAGGCCUUUUCCCCGGGCCCACCAGUGCUGCCUGCGCUGCUGCCCCCGCUCCCCGCAGCCUCGGCGCCUCCCGGCCCCGGCACCUCCCGGCGCGCAGGCCUCUACUCAGUCGUCGCCUCCUCCCCAGAGGCCGCUCCGCGCCUGGUGGACUGGCUGCCCGGCUGCCUCUCGACCACCUCUCCCGCCACACGCGGGGAUGACAGGGAGCGACCGCCGCCCGUCCUGGCACCGGCCCAGGGCCUGGGAAGGAGCUGCGCCCCGCGCCCCGGAGCCGCGGGCAGGGAGGAGGGCACCGUGGACGCGGGUUCAUCCCCGCCGCCCCGCGCCCGGCCCGCCGCUGCGGCGAGCUUGGAGGCCAACGUCGGGGACAUCCUGGUGGAGCUGCGGACCAUGAACGGCCACCUGGGCGUCAUAGCGCGGGCCCUCACCAAACUGGCCUCGUCCCUGGGGCCCCAGCCUGAGCCCCUGCCAGAUGCUCCUGAUGCCAACUGAUGGAGCUCGGCGAGGCGGGGCCGCCGGGCACCAAGGGAUCGGUGCACCAAGCAUCCCUGCCUGUCCUUCCCCAGCAGCGAAGCGCGCGGGGAGGAGCCCAGCGGAACGCAGGGCCUCGCGCUUCAGGGUGAAGCAGACCGGGGUGCGCCUCCCACCCUCCUCCUCGGCUCUCCCACGGCGGCACCUGCCCGGCUUCCUGGCCCUUCACAUGCCCUUCUCUCGUCUUGAGCUUCUGGCAGAAAAAGUGCCUGGAGACGGCGGUGGGGCCCCGAGAAAGAUGCUUAGAGAAACGCUCUUUCACAUCCCGCUCCUGCGACGUCCGCGUGGCGUGGAGGGAGCGGAGCUCAGACCGUGACAUCAAAGCAGCAGCGAGGCCAGCUCCAGCCUUCCUCCCUGGCGGCGUUGGUGGGGCAUCCAUCUCUGGUGACGUUCACAAGAGGAAAAUUGAUGGCCCAAAGUGACUGUCCCGCUCUGUGAUCUGCUCUUUAGCUGAAGAAACAGCAAAACUGGAUCAACUGCGGCAACUGGGAGCAUCAAGUUUUUAUUCAUUUGUUGAUUUGAAUGGUCUUUCAUUCUGAUUUUAACUGAUUUCUUUUGCAUUAGGAAACAAUGAAAGACCAAAAUCUUUUGAGAACAAAGAGGAGCUCACCUAUAAAUCCUAAAUACAGAUGCAGUGAUUGAAAUCUUUGGCCAGAAACCAUCUAGGUAACUUAUGAAUGUAAAACACACCCUAAGUUUCAUCUACUCCUAAGGGAGAACCACUGUCAAUAUUUUGGCAACUACUCUUUGAAACAUUCGUGUCUAUAUACAAAUACCUAUGCGUGUGCAAUUUUACUUAACUGUGAUCAUAGUAUGCCCACUGUUAUGUAACCUGUUUUUUAAAUCUUGAUAAUAGAUGAUAGAAAUAUUUUCAUUUAAAAAGCAAUGUUAUAUAUGAAGCAAAAUUUAGUUAACCAAUUUUCUAUUUAUGCUUCCGAUUUUUCACCAUUAUAUGCAAUGCUGUAACAAAUCUGAGUAUACAUCUUUUUGCUCUUCUGUUGAAGAGCAUGUUGUACAAGUAAAUUCCUAGAGGUAUGAUUGCUGGGUCCAAGGGCAUACACUCUAACUUCUUUUUUCAGUACUGCUAUGGCUUCACCAAGGUUCAAAAAAGGGAAGUGAAUGAAUGAUAGGAGGAACACUGGGGUCUCGGAGUGGCUCCAUUUAAAAAACUGGGAAAAAGGGAAAUAAAACAAAGCUAUCUUUUGAAGAUUAAACUUUAAAAUCAGCACACAGCAGGCCAGAACAGAGAUGUGUAAAAUCACGCUGCAGAGAUGAAUCGUGGUCACUCAAGUGAUGAAUGGGUCCAGUCAGGAAACAGAAGCCCUCCUCAGUUUUCACACUGAGGGGAUCUAAUUGAGGAAUCAGCAGC